GGGCCCGUCGUCUAGUGGUAGGACGCCGCCUUGGCAUGGCGGAGGCGCGGGUUCGAUUCCCGCCGGGUCCA
rnacentral:tRNA from 2 species